rnacentral:rRNA from 1 species
UACGGAGGAGGCAAGCGUUAUCCGGAAUUAUUGGGCGUAAAGCGUCCGCAGGUGGCACUUCAAGUCUGUCGUCAAAGACUGGGGCUUAACCCUGGAAAGGCGGCGGAAACUGAAGCGCUAGAGUGUGGUAGGGGUAGAGGGAAUUCCCGGUGUAGCGGUGAAAUGCGUAGAGAUCAGGAAGAACAUCGGUGGCGAAGGCGCUCUGCUGGACCAUAACUGACACUCAGGGACGAAAGCUAGGGGAGCGAAUGGG